rnacentral:rRNA from 1 species
GACUCCUACGGGAGGCAGCAGUGGGGAAUAUUGCACAAUGGGCGCAAGCCUGAUGCAGCCAUGCCGCGUGUAUGAAGAAGGCCUUCGGGUUGUAAAGUACUUUCAGCGGGGAGGAAGGGAGUAAAGUUAAUACCUUUGCUCACUGACGGUACCUGGAUAAGAAGCACCGGCUAACUACGUGCCAGCAGCCGCGGUAAUACGUAGGGUGCGAGCGUUGUCCGGAAUUAUUGGGCGUAAAGAGCUCGUAGGCGGUUUGUCACGUCGGCCGUGAAAACUGGAGGCUUAACCUCCAGCUUGCGGUCGAUACGGGCAGACUUGAGUUCGGUAGGGGAGACUGGAAUUCCUGGUGUAGCGGUGGAAUGCGCAGAUAUCAGGAGGAACACCGGUGGCGAAGGCGGGUCUCUGGGCCGAUACUGACGCUGAGGAGCGAAAGCGUGGGGAGCGAACAGGAUUAGAUACCCUGGUAGUCCACGCUGUAAACGUUGGGCGCUAGGUGUGGGCGACUUCCACGUUGUCCGUGCCGUAGCUAACGCAUUAAGCGCCCCGCCUGGGGAGUACGGCCGCAAGGCUAAAACUCAAAGGAAUUGACGGGG